GAUGAACGCUGGCGGCGUGCUUAACACAUGCAAGUCGAACGGUGAAGCAGGAGCUUGCUCUUGUGGAUCAGUGGCGAACGGGUGAGUAACACGUGAGCAACCUGCCCCUGACUCUGGGAUAAGCGCUGGAAACGGCGUCUAAUACUGGAUAUGUGAUGUGACCGCAUGGUCUGCAUCUGGAAAGAAUUUCGGUUGGGGAUGGGCUCGCGGCCUAUCAGCUUGUUGGUGAGGUAAUGGCUCACCAAGGCGUCGACGGGUAGCCGGCCUGAGAGGGUGACCGGCCACACUGGGACUGAGACACGGCCCAGACUCCUACGGGAGGCAGCAGUGGGGAAUAUUGCACAAUGGGCGGAAGCCUGAUGCAGCAACGCCGCGUGAGGGAUGACGGCCUUCGGGUUGUAAACCUCUUUUAGCAGGGAAGAAGCGAAAGUGACGGUACCUGCAGAAAAAGCACCGGCUAACUACGUGCCAGCCGCCGCCGUAA
rnacentral:rRNA from 1 species